AUUGACCUCGGAUCAGGCAGGGAUACCCGCUGAACUUAAGCAUAUCA
rnacentral:rRNA from 3 species